rnacentral:rRNA from 1 species
AUGUGUUCUUCCCCUCUCUUCCUUAAUUGCACACCUCUCUCUUCUUCUUCUUCUUCUUCUUCUCUCCGCAACUACUUCCUUCGUCUACGGAACGAUCUCGCUUCUGAGCAGGCACGGCUGUCUCGAGUCGAUCGAGCUCAUCCACUGCAUUGUUCGCUCCAUCCGGCUGAUCCGAUGGGCAAGAAAGGUGCCCUCACCUCCAUCUUCUCCAGGUCCUCCAGCCUCGCUAGCGACUCCUCCACGCCGGCCGUGAUACCCUGGCCGUGGCCAUCCUGCCGGGACCCGCAGACCGACUCCUUCCGUGCCGCCGAGGAGCCCUGCGCCACGGCUGCUGGUGGCAGCAGGUGCGGCCCUGUCGCCGCGAGGCACCGCAAGCUGGUGGGUGGCCCCGCCGAGAUGUACAAGACGGUCAACUCGGUCUACAUCGACCCCGACGACGGCGAGUCAUUCUCUUGCCUCAGCACCGAGGAGGAGGAGGAAACGGUUGUAGUGGAGGACGACGGCUUCUUGACGCCCACUGCGUCCGAGGAGUGGUCGGAGGCUGUGAUCCGCAGCCUCAGCCGGACGACCUCGUCCACCGGCCGCUUCUUCUUCGACCAGGGGCCAGCGACCAACUCCAACCUGUCUGCGGCGGCGGACUCGACAACCGGCAGUACACCACCGGAGGAGGAGAAUGACAAGCCGGCGGCGCUGUCCAAGAAGGAGAAGCCAGGAGAUGGUGGCAAGUCGCUGGUGGUGGAGGAGAGCGUGGCGGUGCCAGUGGAGUCGGCGGACCCGUACGGGGACUUCCUGUCGUCCAUGGAGGAGAUGGUGGCCGCGCACCAGCUGCGCGGCUGGGACGCGCUGGAGGAGCUGCUGGUAUGGUACCUACGGGUGAACGCCAAGCACCACCACCCGCUCAUCGUCAGCGCCUUCGUCGACCUGCUCGUCCGCCUCACCGCCAGCGCCACGGCAAACACCUCGACGACGACAGGGACGAUGACGUCGAGUAGUAGCACCAGCAGCUCGAGCAGCAGCACGAGCAGCACGAGUACUACUAGUAGCAGCACGAGCACGAGUACUGGUGGCGAUGGUGUGGUUGUUAGUGCUACAUCAGCAACGGGACAAUGCGACGGCGGGAAUGAAGCUUGUGCGUCUUGCUCGUCGUCUUCUUCGUGCGCCCCGCGUGACGACGACGAGGCCAGUCGUGGGGAAGACUAG